UUGAUUUUUAGAUAGUAGAGGCCGAGGUUCAGAGUACGAGCCAGAACAGGAACAAACAAGAAUGUUGCUGGACGCUUUUUUUUAAUCUUAUAUCUUAUUUUUUUUAAACAAGGAUCCAUCUAAAUGCUGCGUUUAUUGAUGAUUGUAUUUUGGGGUUUUUGGAUAGUGUCAGACUCAAAAUGAGGCUCUGUGAUGAAUGUGAUGAUGGAAACACAGUAGACGAGCAGACCGCACAGUCUGCAGCCUCCAGCUGCUCGAGAAACUUGUUACAGCUCAACCUAUUACGCGUCAGCCAUCAUCAACAUCCUAAGUGAGACCAAAUGAAAACAAACAGAUGCCACUUACAGCCGUUUACCUCCUGAUGACACAGGGGCAAUCCAAAGAGAUGAUCGACUCCAACCUGGAACCUUCACUCACAAAACUUGUGUGCAGGAGAACGAGCAGUAAGGGAUAUCCGCCAUGUUUCUAAAUCCAUCCCAAACAUUUCAGUUUUGAUGUUGUGAAGCCUGAAGCCUUGAAGAGCGGUCAUGAGAGGAGAAACACAAGAUAUCGCUCUGAGCUUCAUUUUUCAGUAAGACAAGAAAGUUUCAAGCUGGAUAUCAGGCUGUUCUCACGGGAUCUCAGCGAGUAAAUCAUCUGCUUCUUGAAUUCUGCACAAAACGUAUGAAAAUGUAAUCUUUAUACUUCGAAUGUGUUUUUUUAUUGGCAUGUGCUGCAAAGUUCCAAUCAGGGACUGAAAACAGGAAAAGUGAGAGAAAACAACCGAGGUUAAGUAAAACAAAUAUUUAAAAAUGUACUUUUUUAAACACCAGAGCUUUCAUUACACUCGAAGUAAUUAUAUUUUUUCAGCCACAACUGCAUCAAUCUUUUAAUCCGUUCUCAGACUCUCAGAAAUCACCUUUGUAAUCCAGACAACUAAGAAGUUUACCGUUAUGUUCAGAAAUUAUUUCAUAACUUCUAACAGAACAUCCAGACAGGGAAUUUUCACAUAGAUUUAAUUUUGAGCUACAUUACAGAGUCAGCAACUGAUCUUUAAAAUAAAAAAGUAUUGUUUAUUUUUUAAAUAAAUGUAAUUGCACCAGAGAUAGCUAUUAGCUUAUUUGUAUCUGUUGUCCCUGUGUAGGUAGACAAACAAUACAUAACAGGAAGUGCAAUAUCUAAAACACCAGGAUAAGUCAAAAUGAUUUUGUACAUUACACUUCAUAAGAAAUCACAUAUAUAUGUUAAAAAUAAAAUAAAAAUAAUAAUAAAUAAAUAUAUAUAUAUAAAAACUAUAAAAACUAUUUUAAAAAAAUCCAUAAAUAUGAACAAACACUACAUUAAACAGCAGCACCAUAAUGUCCAUCAGUAUAAAAAUGUUUUUGUAGUUUUGUAUUUUUUUUUAAACAAUUAAUCUGCUAACGUUAUGUCAACAUGUUUUCUCAUUAUUAAUUGCUUCUGAAGCAUUCGUGUUGUGUUUCAAUCUGUGCUGGAGGAGCCCAUGAUCUGCUUUUCAUUACUGCUAGUUAACGUGGGCACAAGCUUCCUCCAGACAUGUGACUCAGCAUGCGUGUCUUUCUUUUCGUCCUUAACACAGUGUCUGAGAAAGGUGCGUUUGAUUUACUGUUCUGCGACGUUCAAUAUAAUCUGCUCCUUAACCAGUAAAACAAAUCUUCUGUAGCCUUCUAUUAAACAGCGUUGAGUGUUUCUAAUUUCUUUCCAUACAUGUAUUCAAACAUUAAACCGUUAUUUUUUUCAAGAAUUCAUGAAGCUGAGGAUAGUUGAACAAUAUAAGGAGAUUAAGGAUGUGGUUGUAGUACGGCCAAGAGUUUAAAAUGACUGUACUUUCACUCCUGUGUACACCUUUGUGUCAAUAUUGUUUGAUUUCUCAUCUGACAGUUCUUAUUUAAGGAAGAAUGGUGAAUAUUCAAUAUUGGUUAUAGAAAGUCCUGAACAAAGUUUAAAUUCACCCAAAUGUGUCUGAAUAAAAAGGGUUAUCAUGGAUAAGCUUUAUACUGAACAGGUAAUCUAUUAAGCUGCUACAUUAUUGAAUUUUGCCCUUGCAGGAUCAAUAAAGUAUAUCUUCUGUC